GAUGAACGCUAGCGGUAUGCUUAACACAUGCAAGUCGAGCGGUAGAGAGGUGCUUGCAUCUCUUGAGAGCGGCGGACGGGUGAGUAAUGCCUAGGAAUCUGCCUAGUGGUGGGGGGAUAACGUUCGGAAACGGACGCUAAUACCGCAUACGUCCUACGGGAGAAAGCGGGGGAUCUUCGGACCUCGCGCCAUUAGAUGAGCCUAGGUCGGAUUAGCUAGUUGGUGAGGUAAUGGCUCACCAAGGCGACGAUCCGUAACUGGUCUGAGAGGAUGAUCAGUCACACUGGAACUGAGACACGGUCCAGACUCCUACGGGAGGCAGCAGUGGGGAAUAUUGGACAAUGGGCGAAAGCCUGAUCCAGCCAUGCCGCGUGUG
rnacentral:rRNA from 1 species